rnacentral:rRNA from 1 species
CAGCCGCCACGGUAAAACGUAGGUGGCAAGCGUUGUCCGGAAUUAUUGGGCGUAAUGGGCUCGCAGGCGGUUUCUUAAGUCUGAUGUGAAAGCCCCCGGCUCAACCGGGGAGGGUCAUUGGAAACUGGGAAACUUGAGUGCAGAAGAGGAGAGUGGAAUUCCACGUGUAGCGGUGAAAUGCGUAGAGAUGUGGAGGAACACCAGUGGCGAAGGCGACUCUCUGGUCUGUAACUGACGCUGAGGAGCGAAAGCGUGGGGAGCGAACAGGAUUAGAUACCCGCGUAGUCCCUGUCUCUUAUAC